GCCGCUACGAGACCCAUCUCCCUGCCUUUUUGUUCGAGCUGCCUGGGCGGGAAAGGAAAGCGAGUUGGUGAGAGCGCAGAGGAGAAAAGAGGAAAAAGGAAGCUCGGGCCGGCUUGGAUUCUUGUGGCUGAGGGGGCGACUGGUUUCUCUUCUGCUCUCCUGCUCUCAAGCCGCGGCGGCCUUUCUUCCAACCCACGGCGGUGGCGCCGGCGCCGCGCCGCUAAUCUGGCUGGUUCUUGCAGUUAUCGUGCUACAGGAUUUAGGUGGGAUUAUUACCUAGUUCUCGAGCAACGAGCACGACCCCUCCACUCCCCCCAGUCCCCUCCACCACGACUGCCAUGGUGCUGAAGGGAAAGGGCAAGCUGGUGGCCUCCGAUCCCACUAGCGGUGUCACCACCAAGGCCUCCGCUUCCCGGCGCGGCGAGAAGCGGCGUAGGGGCCUAGGCGACGAGGCAGAGCCUCCGCCGUCCUUGCCCGACGCGAAGCGCCCGGGCGGCCGCUGCGGCUGUGUCCCCAAGACCGUGGACGACUACGACCUCGACAAUGGUUGCAUUCUUGCAGAAGCAAGGGCGGGGCAUGAGCAGCAAUUCCCGCUAGGCAUGCCAGUGCUAGAGUCGUUGAUGCGCAGCAAGAAGCCCUGGGAAUACGCUGAUAAGCUUGUUCCCUUUGUGCACUUUACCCGUCAUGUGCGGGAGAUUACUGAAGCCUGCUCAAGUGAAAAGUUGCGCUGGACCCCUGAGGCGCUUCUUCUAUUAAAAGGAGAAGCAGAGGUUUACUUGUUUGAUGUGUUUGCGGUUGUGAUUCGGUUGGCUCGAGAUACUUUGGCGCAACCCAUACCAUGGUAUGGGAAGAACACAAGGCUCACACCAGAGCAAGAAGAAACCGUGUUUGCUUUGUCAUGUGGGACCUCUGGCAUUCCGGUGUAUGUUCAUAAUAUGAGUUAUUCCGAUGUCAAAUCAAGAUCUAUGUGUUUACCUGGAGAGUAUUGUCAGCGUUUUCUAGUCCCUCGCCUGGGUUCCAAUGUGGGAAAGAUCAAGAUAUUUUUUGGUAACAACUUGACUAGCAGUGAGGUCAAGUUUUCAACAUUGAGAGAAAAUUUCAGGCUUAUUAAAGGAUGGCAUGACUUCAUAAAAAAUAACUGCAUCGUGGAGGGAAACAACUAUGCUUUCACAUUUGAGGAAGAGAAAGAGGGAAGCCCUCUGUCAAUUAGGGUGGACACACUUAAUGAUAUUACAAGCUACUCAGCAAAAGAACAAGGAAGACAAGUGAGUGUGCAACAAUGCAGCUCAGAUGAAUUCACACCUAACUGUCAGAAAAUAUUGGUCGCUUUGAUUCCAAUAUGGUCAAACACUCUUUGUACAUGGGUGCUGGAUUCAGAGUAUGGCCAAGAACAACAUCAGAGGCCACAGCGAUCCCGGGAAGCCACAAUACCAUUGGGGUAUAUGGCGGCUGUUAGGAGAACUGCUAGCACGCUCAUCCCGUAUUUGCAUUUUGCUCGUAUGGUCGCUGACUGCUGCCCAAGCGGUUCUCGUGUGAAGCGCAAUAAGCUCCUAUCUUUGCAUGAGGCAGCAGUGGAGCACUUGGUAUCCCUGUAUGAGUUGGUGUAUCAGUUUGCGGUGAAUCAGGCUGUGGCGAAUCAAUUUGCCACCGGUGUGAUGACACCAUACAUCAGUGACUCCACAAAGCUGACGCCGGAGGAAGAACAAGCUGCAAUUAGCUUGUCGCGUGACUGUGCCCCUGGCACUAGGACGUACAUUCGGACCAUCCUGCGUUCCGAUAAAAAAAGAUUGGAGUUCCAGAAAAAGUUCACUGUGAACUGUCUGUAUCCCUAUCUUUGUUCGGCCAGGUGUAAGGUUUUCGCAGAUAACAAUUUGAUGACCGCGGUUGAGGUUAACUUCCGUGCGAUGCCGAAGGAAGGGAAAGCGGGCUUUUAUGGUGGAUGGCCACGCUUCAUGGAGAUCAACGGUAUCAAGAUAGGUGACGUGUGCGCCUUCGCCUUCAAGGAAGAGAAAGAGGAAGAGGUUGCUCCUCUGUCAGUAAGGGUGCGCGUCCUUAGGGCAGCUCCCUAGCUUGCUCGUAUGCAAAAGCUGGGCAUUUGAGAGUUUUGAACCAUCUAGCUGUGGCUUGCAUGAGCUUUGGCACUUCCAGGGAAAAAAGUAAACGCUGGAGCUGGGUAGAUGAGCAAGUGAUGUAUUUCUUGCCAAUGUUCUUAAGGCGUUGCCUAGGCGACGACUAGGCGUCAAGGCGCCCUUGGGGUGGUAGGCGUCCCCCUCGCCUUGCCUGCAUGCGUAUGGCGUCCGCCUCAGUCGCAAGGCGUCCGCCUAGGCAUCGAAAGGCGUCCUCUGGACGCCAUGGAGGAUGAGGCGGGCGCCAUCGCUGGUCUGUGCGGGAAAUCGAGUGGGAAACAAAGGUUGGGCGCGAAAUCGAAGUCCAGUGCUGGCUUAAUGGACCGACGGAAACAAAGAAGAGGGGGAAACAGAGAACAGAGCGCGGAAGAACUCACCUGGCGGGGCGACGGCAACCCCGCAGCCUCGCGCAUCUCCUCGUCUGUGAGGAACCGCGCGGCCCUGCGCAUCUCUGCCGGUGCGCUAGGACCUGCGCCGCCCUGGGCAUCUCCGCCGCCCGCGCGGCACCGCCUUUGCUGGUCCACGGCCCCAUGCGGCCCCGCCUCCGUGCACCUCCUCUGCUAGUCCGCGGCCUCGUGCGACCCCUGGAAGACUGCAAUGGCCGGGAUAUGUCUAUGGCGUCGCCUCGCCUCGCACCUUAUACGCCUAGGCGUUGUGAGGGACUGAGGGGGGUAGGUCGCCACGAGUCGCCAUAGCGCUGUAAGAACAUUGUUUCUUGCUGAGCACUCGAUCGUCGGCGAGGUGCUCUUUUGUCCUGAGGCAAGCAUGUGUUUUUGGCCCAAGUGUUUGGGCAAUGCAUCCUCUCUUUUGUAAGUAAUUUCUGCCGUGUGGCGGCAAGCUCAGAAACUCCCAGCUGCCUGUAUGUAUUGUAUGCUGGUCUCCAUCGAUCAUGAUUCAUUAAAGCAA